CCUACGGGAGGCAGCAGUAGGGAAUCUUCCGCAAUGGACGAAAGUCUGACGGAGCAACGCCGCGUGAGUGAUGAAGGUUUUCGGAUCGUAAAACUCUGUUAUUAGGGAAGAACAAAUGUGUAAGUAACUGUGCACAUCUUGACGGUACCUAAUCAGAAACC
rnacentral:rRNA from 1 species